AUUUGCCCGCUUGCCGUCUGGCGUUGUGGGGUGUGGUUAGUUUAGCGGUGUUGGGUCCAGCGAACGUGCGGGCGCAUGAGUGGUAAUGGGAUUGCUUUUGUCGGCUGGCUCCGUGCUCGCGCAUCGAACGGUCGACAUGCUCUCCCCUUCAUUGACACCGACUUGCCUUCGCGGCAUCGGUGCUUGUUGUCGGUUCCUGUGCUGCCUACCUACUUGGUGGUAUUUGUCGGGUUGUCGAGACGCGUUCCACCCAGUCCAAUUUCUGGGGGAUUCGAAAGAAACGCAGUGCUGCCGACGUUAGCCUUGCUUGUAGUGCCUGCUCGCAGGCUUCCUUCGGCACGCUUGCUUUUGCUGAUCUGUUGGAUACGGUGUAUGCUGCGAACGCGGGGCUGGUGUCCCGUGUUGUCCCUCGAAAAUCCGGUUGGCUUGAAUGACGGUUGCCUUGGCGGAGGUUUUGCUCACCUUUACUGCGUGGCAUCACUUGCGCCAAUUGCGAAGUCAGUAACGGGUGCUACCUG
rnacentral:misc_RNA from 1 species